rnacentral:snRNA from 1 species
AUACUUACCUGGAUGGGGUCUAUGGCUGAUCAAGAAAAGUCAUGGCCUAAGCUAGUGGCCUCCAUUGCACUUUGGAUGAGCACUAGUUUACCAUCUCCUUAAGUAGGAGAGUGGACAUCAUAAUUUAUGGCAGAGGGGAUACGCGUUCGCGCGGUCCCUAC